GACUCUCGGCAACGGAUAUCUCGGCUCUUGCAUCGAUGAAGAACGUAGCAAAAUGCGAUACUUGGUGUGAAUUGCAGAAUCCCGUGAACCAUCGAGUUUUUGAACGCAAGUUGCGCCCGAAGCCUUUACGACCGAGGGCACGCCUGCCUGGGCGUCACACACAG
rnacentral:rRNA from 2 species